rnacentral:rRNA from 1 species
UUAUCAAAAACAUCGCCUCUUGCUAACAAAGGAAGUACUAGAGGUCCCGCCUGCCCUGUGACCACAAAGUUUAACGGCCGCGGUAUCCUGACCGUGCGAAGGUAGCGUAAUCAUUUGUCUUUUAAAUAGAGACCUGUAUGAAUGGCAUAACGAGGGUUUAACUGUCUCCUUCCCCUAGUCAAUGAAAUUGAUCUGCCCGUGCAGAAGCGGACAUAAACACAUAAGACGAGAAGACCCUAUGGAGCUUUAGACAAAAGAUCAAACAUGUAAAGAAACCAAACCAACCAAAAGGAACACGAAGGCCACAAAACCCAACGUAAACUGAUCUAAAUGUCUUCGGUUGGGGCGACCAUGGGGGAAAGAAAAGCCCCCACGAGGAACAGGGACAACCCCUAAACUAAGAGAGACACCUCUAAGCAACAGAAAAUCUGACCAAAAUGACCCAGGAUACUAAUCCUGAUCAACGAACCAAGUUACCCUAGGGAUAACAGCGCAAUCCUUUCCCAGAGUCCAUAUCGACGAAAGGGUUUACGACCUCGAUGUUGGAUCAGGACAUCCUAAUGGUGCAGCCGCUAUUAAGGGUUCGUUUGUUCAACGAUUAAUAGUCCUACGUGAUCUGAGUUCA